rnacentral:rRNA from 1 species
UUUGGUUUAGUUUAGUGGCGGACGGGUGAGUAACGCGUGGGUAACCUGCCCUAUACAGGGGGAUAACAGUUGGAAACGACUGUUAAUACCGCAUAAGCGCACAGGAGCGCAUGCUCCGGCGUGAAAAACUCCGGUGGUAUAGGAUGGACCCGCGUCUGAUUAGCUGGUUGGCGGGGUAACGGCCCACCAAGGCGACGAUCAGUAGCCGGCCUGAGAGGGUGAACGGCCACAUUGGGACUGAGACACGGCCCAAACUCCUACGGAAGGCAGCAG